rnacentral:lncRNA from 1 species
CCCCCUCCUCUCUCUCAUUCUCCCCCUUCGCCGGUCCCUUUCGGUGGUGGACCAACCCUCCCUCCAUUCUUUUGUGUUCCGAUCCACCUUAGCUGGUCCCUUCAGCGGACGACGGACGGCAGAAGGCUGGAUUCCUUUCUCUCGAUGGUGACAGACGGCAGUCGAUGAUAUCUUUCGGCGAUCAACAUUGCUUCUUUCCGACGGUGGCAUAACGGCGUUGCUCUUCUCUCCUCUCUUCACCUCGGUCUCCGAUCGACUCUCAGGUGCUCGGCGUUGCAUCAUCCGGCGGUGGCAUGAUGGCGAUUUCUUCUUUUGUAAUUUAAAUUUCAAAAUCUGAAUGUUGAAGGGGAAGUUUAAAUUUUAAAUGUGGGUUGAUGGGUUGGUAGAGGGGAAUUUGAAAUUCAAAUUUGAAUUUCUGUGUUUUCGGUUUGGAGGUUCCUCUUCUUUUCUUCUCUUUGUACUCUCUUUUUUUCUUUUAAUAAAUUUAGGUGACUAUUGUGCUACAGCACGUUAGUCUCCUCUUAUAUCAAAAAAAAGAGGAGUUUUUAUCUCUGCAUCUCAGUAUCAGUUUAUCAAUUCAAGAGGGGUGAAGUGCAGGUUUGCUACAUCGCUUUGGAGUCUCUCAAUGGUUUUCAAGGUAAUUAAAUGCUUAUUAUGGCUCUGUUGGAAGAAGAGACUCAAUACCAGGGACAACAUUGGAAGAAAGCUUGGUAAAAACCUGGGUGGAUGAUGUUUUUUUGCCACCAUUUGGAGAUCUAUAUGUUAUUUGAUUGGUCUUUUAUAUUCACACAUUAUCUUUGAAGGGUGGUGUUUGGAUUGGAGAAAGAAGAAUUCCACAAAAGCCGCCCAACCCAUGGUUUUGAUGCUGAUUGGUGCCACAUCUUAGUCGUGCUGGAGAGAGAGGAACUCGCAUGAUUCUGCGCAAACAAGCAUCUAGUAGGCCGGUUGCUGCAAAAGGCUGACGGCUUUUUUUCCUUUUGGUCCAAUCUCUAUAGUGCAAAGUUACUCAUAAAGCAUGCAAGAAUAUGGAACAAAAUAAGGAUACUUGACCGGUUGAAUGGCGACCGACAUGGCUGAAUUUCACUUGCGAAAUCUGAUUCCAAUUGCUUCGCUGUGGCUGCAGAUAAAAAGAAGUCUAUAUAUUUUGGUGAUAAUAUCACUGUUAAAAUCAUCUCUAUUAUCUCUGUCAUCAGGGUUGAUAUCAUGGUUGCAUGUUCCCUUCUCGGCUGAAGGCAAGUUGGUCUCCUCAUCACUGCUGAUCUGGGAUAAUUAAGCAUUAUUCUUUGUAAAUCGCAUCUCUCAGUAACACCUCUACGUAACUCUUUCCUCUUUGUAAUACGUCUUUGUAACUCCUCUCUCUGCGAGCCUUAACUCUUUCCUCUCCUCCUACAAUUACCAUGAUAUUUAGUAAAAGCCAGGUGGCUGCUUUUCCA